GCCUGGCUGGCUCAUUUGGUGGAGUGUGGGACUGUUGAUCUUGAGGUCAUGAGUUCGAGCCCCACGUUGGGUG
rnacentral:tRNA from 1 species